CCUACGGGUGGCUGCAGUGGGGAAUAUUGCACAAUGGGCGCAAGCCUGAUGCAGCAACGCCGCGUGCGGGAUGACGGCCUUCGGGUUGUAAACCGCUUUCAGCAGGGACGAAGCGCAAGUGACGGUACCUGCAGAAGAAGCACCGGCUAACUACGUGCCAGCAGCCGCGGUGAUACGUAGGGUGCGAGCGUUGUCCGGAUUUAUUGGGCGUAAAGAGGUUGUAGGCGGUUAGUCGCCGUCUUAAGGGACAGCUCAGGGCUUAACCCUGAGCCUGCUUGCGAUACGGGCUGACUAGAGGAAGGUAGGGGAGAAUGGAAUUCCCGGUGGAGCGGUGGAAUGCGCAGAUAUCGGGAGGAACACCAGUGGCGAAGGCGGUUCUCUGGACCUUUCCUGACGCUGAGAAGCGAAAGCGUGGGGAGCAAACAGGAUUAGAUACCCCAGUAGUC
rnacentral:rRNA from 1 species